UUAAUGUAUUUUUGGCUAAUUCAAGAAACUUUCCUUCUUCAGACAUUGUAACCAAAUGUAUGUUCCUGUGAAUCAGGAAUGAAGACAGGACAGCAAAGCUGUGCGUAGCAGGAAUCUAGAAUGACGGAUGGUCUCUUGCUGCCCCCUGCUGGUAGAACGUGUCAUUGCGCGCCCACAAGCACUCUGGAUUGAUGUUCCUAUUCUGCACCUCAGACAGGCUUUAUUUGAAAAAUUUUGAAACUUACAUCCCAGAAGAAUUCAAGAUUAUCACCACAAGAAGAAGAAAAAGAUAAUACAAAAAUAUAUAUCACAGCAUAGGAGCCAGUGUCCUCUGCUGAAGCCUCCUGAGAUACAGAGCACAGCGCUAUCAAGUCACCCAACCAUGCAUCACCACAGUACAGCUGCUUGCUCUUAUGCAACCAAUUCUGCACUUGUUAAUCAAGGUCUUCCUGCCUUUCCUUCCUCUCUUCUCUCCUCAGCCUCUGGAAAUUACCAUUCCACUCUCUACUUCCGUGGGAUCAACCUUUUGUACUCCAAAUAUGAAUGGGAUCAUGCAGUAUUUGUC